rnacentral:rRNA from 1 species
CAAACUGGGAUUAGAUACCCCACUAUGCUCAGCCAUAAACCUAGACAUCCAACUACAAUUAAACGUCCGCCCGGGUACUACGAGCAUUAGCUUGAAACCCAAAGGACCUGACGGUGCCUUAGACCCCCCUAGAGGAGCCUGUUCUAGAACCGAUAACCCCCGUUAAACCUCACCACUUCUAGCCAUCCCAGCCUAUAUACCGCCGUCGUCAGCUUACCCUGUGAAGGCAAUAAAAGUAAGCAAAAUGGGCACAACCCAGAACGUCAGGUCGAGGUGUAGCGUACGAAGUGGGAAGAAAUGGGCUACAUUUUCUAUCACAGAACACUACGAACAUGCAACAUGAAAUAGUGCUUGAAGGAGGAUUUAGUAGUAAAAAGGAAGCAGAGUGUCCUUUUGAACCGGGCUCUGAGGCGCGUACACACCGCCCGUCA